GUAGUAUUCCCUCCGUCCCAAAAUUCUUGUCUUACAUUUGUUUAGAUACGGAUGUAUCUAACACUAAAAUGUAACUAGAUACAUCCAUAUUUAGACAAAUUUCAGACAUGAAUUUUGGGACGGAGGGAGUACAAA
rfam:Triticum aestivum genome assembly, contig: Triticum_aestivum_CS42_TGACv1_scaffold_423244_5BS